GACGAACGCUGGCGGCGUGCUUAACACAUGCAAGUCGAACGGAAAGGCCCUGCUUUUGUGGGGUGCUCGAGUGGCGAACGGGUGAGUAACACGUGGGUAACCUGCCCUUGACUUUGGGAUAACUUCAGGAAACUGGGGCUAAUACCGGAUAGGAGCUCCUGCUGCAUGGUGGGGGUUGGAAAGUUUCGGCGGUUGGGGAUGGACUCGCGGCUUAUCAGCUUGUUGGUGGGGUAGUGGCUUACCAAGGCUUUGACGGGUAGCCGGCCUGAGAGGGUGACCGGCCACUUUGGGACUGAGAUACGGCCCAGACUCCUACGAGAGGCAGCAGUGGGGAAUAUUGCACAAUGGGCGGAAGCCUGAUGCAGCAACGCCGCGUGCGGGAUGACGGCCUUCGGGUUGUAAACCGCUUUCGCCUGUGACGAAGCGUGAGUGACGGUAAUGGGUAAAGAAGCACCGGCUAACUACGUG
rnacentral:rRNA from 1 species